CAGAAUGACAACGGUGGCUGGAUAUUCUACCGUAGUAAUAGAACCCCUGAUUCUUUAGCUGGGCAUGUAGCUGUUCAGGGGGAAAAAAAGGCUAUUUCCCAGUUUCCUUUGCAAAGGACUGAGUGGAAGUUUUAUAUGGCGACUUCUGGAACUUUCCUUAAGUGACAGUUGGUCUCCUCUCUGCUGCUUUCAAGCCUCAAAGAUGCCAGAUUAAAAAGAAGUACGAAUGAAGAAUUAAGCAGUUUUAAAAAAAAAAUGACUAGGUUUCUACCCCAACAGUGCCCCUAAAACAAUCCUGCGGGCAGAUCACUCAGGCAAGAUAACAUCUGGAGAAAGAGUCAGCCAGUCUGCAUUAAAGGGAGAAAGAUGCUGCGUUUAAUGAACGGAACCUCCUGCCUCGACGAUUCACUGAGAUUCUUCACCACCAUCCCCAUUUUUCCCUUUAAAAACUGUCAUGGGGCUUCCCUGGUGGCGCAGUGGUUGAGAG